rnacentral:rRNA from 1 species
UGGGGAAUAUUGCACAAUGGGCGCAAGCCUGAUGCAGCCAUGCCGCGUGUGUGAAGAAGGCCUUCGGGUUGUAAAGCACUUUCAGCGAGGAGGAAGGUGGUGGACUUAAUACGUUCAUCAAUUGACGUUACUCGCAGAAGAAGCACCGGCUAACUCCGUGCCAGCAGCCGCGGUAAUACGGAGGGUGCAAGCGUUAAUCGGAAUUACUGGGCGUAAAGCGCACGCAGGCGGUUUGUUAAGUCAGAUGUGAAAUCCCCGGGCUCAACCUGGGAACUGCAUUUGAAACUGGCAAGCUAGAGUCUCNUAGAGGGGGGUAGAAUUCCAGGUGUAGCGGUGAAAAUGCGUAGAGAUCUGGAGGAAUACCGGUGGCGAAGGCGGCCCCCCUGGACG